CCUCAAUUGAGCCUGUGGAUGGGUAAACAGAAGCUGGUGAUACUGGAUGCUGGUGGAUGUGGUGGUGAUUCGAGUCUAGAGGCAACAAGAAUUCAUCGCUUCCACUUCAAUGCCUGCUGAGCUAGUUGAGGGGACUGUUCAUCACCCGUGACUAUGACUAGACAGAUUUGGCAAGGAAACAGGCCUCUCCAACUCAGCCAGUCAACAGUGGAACAGGGAGGAGACGACACUGCCUGGCCUGCUGCACUGGACCAAAGAUGCUUCAGCCUCAAAAUGGAAACUUGUUCAAGCCCAAGCAAGCAUCCUUAUGAAAGAAAAUGAACCUAAGAAGUUAAAAUUAUAUUAGUAAUUUUUCUUAAAAAGUA